rnacentral:rRNA from 1 species
GGAGUUAGCCGGUGCUUCUUCUGUGAGUGAUGUCCUUCCUGCCGGCUAUUAACCCGCAGGCCUUCUUCCUCACUGAAAGUGCUUUACAACCCGAAGGCCUUCUUCACACACGCGGCAUGGCUGGAUCAGGGUUGCCCCCAUUGUCCAAUAUUCCCCACUGCUGCCUCCCGUAGGAGUCUGGUCCGUGUCUCAGUCCCAGUGUGGCUGAUCAUCCUCUCAGACCAGCUACGGAUCGUCGCCUUGGUGAGCCGUUACCUCACCAACCAGCUAAUCCGACAUAGGCUCAUCCGAUAGCGCGAGGCCCGAAGGUCCCCCGCUUUCCCCCGUAGGGCGUAUGCGGUAUUAGCCUGGGUUUCCCCAGGUUAUCCCCCACUACCGGGCAGAUUCCUAUGCAUUACUCACCCGUCCGCCGCUCGCCACCAGGGAGCAAGCUCCCCGUGCUGCCGCUCGACUUGCAUGUGUUAGGCCUGCCGCCAGCGUUCAAUCUGAGCCAGGAUCAAACUCUGA